rnacentral:rRNA from 1 species
AUACAGAGAGUGCAAGCGUUAAUCGGAAUAACUGGGCGUAAAGCGCACGUAGGUGGACAUUUAAGUCGGAUGUGAAAGCCCUAGGCUUAACCUAGGAACUGCAUCCGAUACUGGAUGUCUAGAGUAUAGUAGAGGGAAGUGGAAUUUCCGGUGUAGCGGUGAAAUGCGUAGAUAUCGGAAAGAACACCAGUGGCGAAGGCGGCUUCCUGGACUAAUACUGACACUGAGGUGCGAAAGCGUGGGGAGCAAACAGGAUUAGAAACCCCGGUAGUCC